rnacentral:rRNA from 1 species
AGGGUUCGAUUAUGGCUCAGAACGAACGCUGGCGGCAGGCCUAACACAUGCAAGUCGAGCGCGCCUUCGGGCGAGCGGCGGACGGGUUAGUAACGCGUGGGAACGUGCCCAGAUCUACGGAAUAGCCACUGGAAACGGUGAGUAAUACCGUAUACGCCCUUAGGGGGAAAGAUUUAUCGGAUUUGGAUCGGCCCGCGUUAGAUUAGGUAGUUGGUGGGGUAACGGCCUACCAAGCCUACGAUCUAUAGCUGGUUUUAGAGGAUGAUCAGCAACACUGGGACUGAGACACGGCCCAGACUCCUACGGGAGGCAGCAGUGGGGAAUCUUGGACAAUGGGGGCAACCCUGAUCCAGCCAUGCCGCGUGAGUGAAGAAGGCCCUAGGGUCGUAAAACUCUUUCGCCUGUGAUGAUAAUGACAGUAGCAGGUAAAGAAACCCCGGCUAACUCCGUGCCAGCCGCCGCGGUAAUA